rnacentral:lncRNA from 1 species
AUGGAUUGAAGCUACUAGAAUCAUGGACUAUGAUAUCCAGCAUAUACACUUCGUUCAAGGCCUAGAUCAAACAUCUGGUUUGCAUACAAAUUGGUGUGAACAAAGAAUUUAGCCUUAGCGUUUUACACUUAGGAAGCUUCCCUGAAUUUCCGGCAAAUGCAGUCAUAUUCGCCCAAAAGGGAACUUACCGAAUUAUUAACGUUCUGCUAGGAUUUAGCAAACCAAACCAACUCUUAGCUCAUAUACUAUUAAAACCAAGCAAAUAUCCUUAAAAGCAAAAAUCUGAUUUUAAUCAAAUGUCCAAUAACCCAAAUGACUCAACUUCAAAUUAAUCUACACGGCAAACUUUCUCAGAAUAAAUAAAUUGGAAGUUUGGUCAAAAGGAUAAAUUCUCACUUUUUGAAAAAUGUUUAUAACGUUAAUUGUGAUAUACUGAAGUGCCAUAAGUUGCCUGGUGACCGCAAUCAUGCUUAAAGGACCUUUAUCACUUUGAAAAAAACAUUAUUGAAAACCAGAGAUGAAUCCAAAGUUCUGCUUUAUUUAGCCAGAGAUGAACAUCAUGGUCAACUAAACAUUUUGAACACGAAAACAAUCAGAUGCAAAUUAAGAUUCAAACUGAUUCAACUAGUUUUGGCCAUUUAGCCUCAAGCUUUCACAGUACAUAGAUCAUCACCAUAACAAUAAGAAAAGAGAAGAAUCAACCUGAGUCGAGCUUAUCUAAUCUUGUUCAGAAAAAUAUUUGAACGUGCAACAUAGAACAAAUGAGACAACAGUCAUUGAAAUCGGAAUCGCGAACAAAUUUCAACAUGAACAAAUUGCAACACGAACAAAAGAGAUGAAACUUGAACCAUCAAUUUUAAUCUUCUAACUCAGAAACAAUAGUAUGAUCCAUCAAGGAAAAAUCAGAAACCAUAGCAUUUUUUAUUGAACAUAAAACUUCAGUCAUUCAAUGCUCAAAUGUCCAUACAUGAAUAAAUAAACUUAUCCAUUCAACAAAAAAAACACGCAGGUAGUCGCAUAAUCAUAGAGCAAAAACAAAGGAAAUCAAACAGAUUGUACAAACGUUUGUGACAUAAAUCUGGAAAAAAAUCGAAAAAAGAAAAAGAGUAAAGUUGAAGUGUAACCUUUUAAUUGAACAACAAAAAUUCACCAAAUUAACGUGUUGGACCAGAGUUACAACGAGAAGAUGAUAGCCAAAUUGGAGUUCGAGCAAGACCUAUGAGCAUCAACAGAGAAACGAGCGGCGCCUGAAGCUCGAACAAAUCUUCGAACAGCAACAGAAGUCUCGAAACCCCCUAGAAAAAAACUCAAACGAACUCCAUGUUUUUUUUUAAAAGCAAAAGUCAAGGCAGGGAACUGACAUUCUUUAAUUUCUAGAAAACGAAAAUAUAAAUAAAACGAAUAUGGAAGAAUCAGAAGAAAUCUAAUUUUUCUCUCUCAAACCUUUCCCAAAUUUCUUUCAAAUGAGAAUGCUCUCCAAUUUUCCCGAAAUCUCUCUCUAAAAAAACCCUUUCUCUGAUAAUAUCAACUCUCUUAUAUAGGCCUUCAAGUAUUCUCGAACCUUCUUCCCUCCUCUCCAAGAGAUCUUCAAAUAAAAAUCUUUCCCCGAAUAUGAUUUUUUACUCCUCGUUUGAUGAAAAAACGAACAAAUGGAGGGAGUGGAUCAAAUAAAAUCCAAUCCAACACUCCCCAUUUUUUCUCAUUUCCCUCAAAAGGAUUAAAAAUCUGAAAAUAAAUCGAAGAGAGGGCAUGUGAGGGAGGGGAAAUUUGUCAGAUACGAUUAGAAUCUUGGUGACGUGGUAAAGAUGGGGCCCGUGUGAGUGAACUCAUCUGAAUUUCAAGUGAGUUGGGGUUGAAUCGGUUGAGGGAGACGAUGAAUAGUUCUCUUGCACUGUUUCUAGGUCUGUUGUGAUUUAG